UACAGAGGUCCCAAGCGUUGUUCGGAUUCACUGGGCGUAAAGGGUGCGUAGGUGGCUGGGAAAGUUUGAUGUGAAAGCUCGGAGCUUAACUCCGAAAUGGCAUUGAAUACUUCCUAGCUGGAGGGUCGGAGGGGAGACUGGAAUUCUCGGUGUAGCAGUGAAAUGCGUAGAUAUCGAGAGGAACACCAGUGGCGAAGGCGAGUCUCUGGACGACUCCUGACACUGAGGCACGAAAGCUAGGGGAGCAAACAGG
rnacentral:rRNA from 1 species